CCGGGGGGCGUGUCCUGGUCGGGGGGCGUGGCCGGCGCGCUGGGGGCGUGGCCCUGGUUCCACGGGACGCUGCCGCGCAUGCGCGCCGCGCAGCUGGUGCUGCAGGGGGGGCGGGGCGGCCACGGCGCCUUCCUGGUGCGGCAGAGCGAGACCCGGAGGGGCGACUUCGUGCUCACCUUCAACGUGCUGGGCAAGGCCAAGCACCUGCGCCUCUCGCUGAACGAGGCGGCGCAGUGCCGCGUGCAGCACCUCUGGUUCCAGAGCAUCUUCGACAUGCUGGAGCACUUCCGGGUGCACCCCAUCCCCCUGGAGUCGGGGGGCGCCGGGGACGUCACCCUGCUCAGCUACGUGGUGGCCUCCCAGCGGCUCUGCGGUCGCUCGAGCCUCGCCGACCCCUCCCCCACCGCCGCCGCCCCUCCCCCACCCCCGCACUGACCCCUCCCCCUCCCCCUUUUGGGGCUCUUUUGGACAAAAAAAACUCCGGAAAAGACAAAAAAAAAAUAAAUAAAAAAGGAAAAAAAAAAAAUUCCCGAUUUUGGUGCUGUCGUGGGGGGGGAGGGGCGGGGUGGGGGAGGGGCCGCGGCUCCGGGGGGUCCCGGGUCCCAAUUUUGGGUUUUUUUCCCCAAUUUUGGGGGGUUUAUUUCCAUUUUUUGGGGGAUUUUUUCCCAAUUUUGAGGGUUUUAUUUCAAUUUCUUGGGGAUUUUUCCCCAUUUUUGGGGAUUUUUUCCCCAUUUUGGG
rnacentral:lncRNA from 1 species